GCACAAGCGGUGGAUGAUGUGGUUUAAUUCGAUGCAACGCGAAAACCUUACCCACCUUUGACAUGGCAGGAAUCCCGAAGAGAUUGGGAGUGCUCGAAAGAGAACCUGCACACAGGUGCUGCAUGGCUGUCGUCAGCUCGUGUCGUGAGAUGUUGGGUUAAGUCCCGCAACGAGCGCAACCCUUGCCAUUAGUUGCUACGAAAGGGCACUCUAAUGGGACUGCCGGUGACAAACCGGAGGAAGGUGGGGAUGACGUCAAGUCCUCAUGGCCCUUAUAGGUGGGGCUACACACGUCAUACAAUGGCCGGUACAGAGGGUAGCCAACCCGCGAGGGGGAGCCAAUCCCACAAAGCCGGUCGUAGUCCGGAUCGCAGUCUGCAACUCGACUGCGUGAAGUCGGAAUCGCUAGUAAUCGUGGAUCAGAAUGUCACGGUGAAUACGUUCCCGGGUCUU
rnacentral:rRNA from 1 species